rnacentral:rRNA from 1 species
AUUGAACGCUGGCGGCAGGCCUAACACAUGCAAGUCGAACGAGUGGCGGACGGGUGAGUAAUAUCUGGGAAAGUGCCCAGUGGAGGGGGAUAACUACUGGAAACGGUAGCUAAUACCGCAUACACUCAGAUGUGCCCAGAUGGGAUUAGCUGGUUGGUGGGGUAACGGCUCACCAAGGCAACGAUCCCUAGCUGGUCUGAGAGGAUGACCAGCCACAAUGGAACUGAGACACGGUCCAGACUCCUACGGGAGGCAGCAGUGGGGAAGUGUGCACAAUGGGCGCAAGCCUGAUGCAGCCAUGCCGCGUGUAUGAAGAAGGCCGUCGGGUUGUAAAGUACUUUGAGCGGGGAGGCGUUAACUGCAGAAGAAGCACCGGCUAACUACGUGCCAGCAGCCGCGGUAAUUC